AUUGCUAUAUGCAAGCCAAAAAAAUACGAAACAACGGAAAACUAGAAUAAUAGAUAAAUAAAUGGAAAAACUAAUGCAAGCAAAACGAGAAAUUAAUUAUACUUACCAAAAACAUACAUUAAAUUAUUUAGAGCAGAAGAACAAGGACGAUGUUGCUGUCGUGCUUAGUACAGAAUUUGUAAAUAUAUAGAAUAAACUUUUCCCUCACAAUAAGUCAGGUCAAUGAACUUUUGCGUCUUUUGCGAAAAGACACCAAAGGUUUAAAAAAAACACACACAAUAGAAGUUGUUCCACUUCCCAGAUGGUUCCGUUGAACCAGAAAGGGAGAAUAGAACAAUGAAUAUAGAGAUAAUCAGCCGAAUUUAUGAUGAGAAUAACCAGUAGAAUAAAUUGAAUUGUAAGAACCUGGAAAAAAAAGGAUUAAUUAGAAUAUUUAGAAAAUACGGAAUUGGUAUACUUACAUUUGACAAAUUAAGCUCCAUAGUAUUUCCUCAGAUGCAUAUUUCAUUCGAUAAUUCAUUCCACCCAUAAGAUUAGCAAUAGAGGCCAAAGCAGUCCUGUUCGCGGCCACAGCCUCAAACCAAUUAAAAAUCAUUUGAAUUUCAUUACAACAAUAGCCCGGCUCGUAACAUUUGGCAGAAGCCUGAGAGAAGAGAGAUAGUUGAACUGGUAUGUGAAUUUCCCAUCAGUGUGUGAUGGGGUUGAUAUUUGAGAAAUUAGAUCAUUUUUCUCGAAUCGAAUAUGCACGUACAGGUACAUUUUUCGAUGAAGGAAUAUGAUAGUAUUGGCUAUCACUUCGGGUGAUGUUUGUUCCCAAUAAAUGUAUUGGGGUUGAUUUAUCGGAAAAAAGCUAUAAAGCAAUAGAUGAUCAGUAUCAAACUGGUUUCGGGUCGGUUCGGUUUAUAAUUCGAUCUCUCGGGUGCAAAAUUAACUUGAAAAGUCCAGACAAAUCUCCAUAUUUGCAUGCAAUAGUAAGUAAAGUUCAAGUUCAAAGUUUAAGUUCAAAGUUAGGUUUUCGGAAGAAUUAAUGAUGAAGAAUAAUAGUGAAAAAAAAUUAUUGGCGUAAUUUUUUUUGGGAAGAGUGGGAAGUAAUGAAACGAGCAACGUUCGUUUCAAAAGAGAAACGAUAAGUUUCUGUAGGUGAGGUGUUCGAUUCGAGCAGUGCAAUCUCGUUGAUCGUGUAUAAGGUAAUAAUGUGGGUGAUUAGUUCGUAGAGUAAUGCCAACCUGAAAUAUUAGUACUAAAAUUAAGGAAUCCGGAAAUAUGACGUAAAUGGAAUAAGUACUAAAAAAGAAAUGAUAGGUUUCGUGAAGUGAAGAAAUAGCACUCUCGGUCUUUUCCUUUUAGACAGCCGAGUGAUAAGGUUUAAAAAAAAAAAAAAGUUUUAAGUGAGAAAGUGCGAUCUAGCAGUAUUAUUAAGUAAUUAAAGAAAAAAAUAUGCAAGUGUUAAGUGAUUCUAAAACCAAAUUUAAUUAUUUCCAGAGGUGAUUUUAUUUCUAAUUUCUGGAUCGCAAUUAGUGAGUCGAACCGUGUAGCGAAAAUAGAGCGAUUCGAGUAAGUUAAUAACCUUAAAAGUGAAGAAGCAAAAUCUUAAGUAAUUCCUUUAAAACAGAAGUCGGAGAAGUUAUUCAAGAAAUUAUAUCGCGUAAUCAGUGUGCAAAUAUCGAGCAAGAAGAGAGUGCCCACGUGCCGGCGGAGUGCCGAAGUCUUUGGGGUUGGUGUCGGAUAGGCAUCGGAUCGGCAUCGCUCGUUCGUCGAAUCCGAAACAUUUGAGGGCUAGUGACGGAAGCAUUGGGAACCUGCCUAGGUGCGCACUAUAGCCUUGUGGCUGCGCGCCGCGAUAGUCCACCUGGAGAGCGUCGGCCAGCGGUAAAAAUCUCGGCCUCGCAUUCUCACGCUCCUCCCAGGAGGUUCAGCGAGUGGUCUAGAAGGGAAAGGAUCGCCACGCCAGCGAGGUUACC